CAGCCGUUCCGGAGGCUCCCAGUGCACAGAGUCCAGCACCAUGGUUGAGAGCAGCUGGGUCCCCUGUGAGUCUUGGGGUUUCAGAUCAGAGGAAGGAGCUGCAGGAAAAACGGGGCCUGAAACGGGCAGCUGAACUGCCAGGAAUGACCCAGAACAGGAAGGAAGGCUGCCCUCCAGAGCAUGCUUGAGAGACACCUCCAGACCCCAGGGAGAUAUGGUGUGGAGUUGAAAGCUGCUUCUGAAUCUUCCCAGAUUCCCUGCUUCUGCC